UUUUUAGUAGAUUGUAAGCAGCCAAGAACUCAGAGAAAAGGCAUGGCAGCCAUCUUGUCAGAUGUGUUGUGAGAUGUGGUUGGGUGCUGGUUUCUGAAUGGUGGACAGAGCUGGAGGAACUGGAGGUGGUAGUGCAGAAGUGCUAGUGGUAGAAGAAGAAGAAGGAGGAGAAGAAGGAGGUGAGGCGACAGCUGCAUGGUUCUGAUGGUAGCGGUGUUAUGAGUUGGAGAGUUUCCUCCGGGAAGAGCAGACCAGGUGCUCCAAGGAAUCUAUUCUGAAGCUCCAUCAAGGAUUUUGCAGUGUGUCGUGCAUGCAGUCUAAAUAUUCCAAUGAGUUCUAAUAUUUUACAAUGAGUUUUAAUUAUACACAGAAAAAAAACCAUGGCAUCAUUCUUUAUGUUUUCUUUAGAAUAAAUAUGUUAAUACAUAUAUAAAUAUAUAAAAAUGCAAUAAAGGUGUAUGGGGAUUGCAUUUAUUUGUAUAAAAUGACUGUUAAAAAUAGGGAUUAACACAGACAUAAGAAGUAAUAUAAAUAAAGAAGAUAAUAAAAAGACAUUUAA